UAUUCCUAUAAAGACAGAGGUGCUUCACAGGACACCAAGGAAGACCACAUUGGAAACAUUAUCCAGCAUCACUGGAAACAAGUGUCCAAGGAGUCCAGAAGAGGGCGUCAUCAGAUCUCCUGGAGCUGAAGUAAUAGGCGGUCAUGAGCUGCACUACUGGAGCACAGGGAGCCGAACUC